rnacentral:rRNA from 1 species
CGAACGCGGGUCGGCAUGCCUAACACAUGCAAGUCGAACGGUAACGAUGGAAAGCUUGCUUUCCAGGCGACGAGUGGCGGACGGGUGAGUAAUGCUUAGGAAUCUGCCCAGUAGCGGGGGAUAGCUCGGGGAAACUCGAAUUAAUACCGCAUACGCCCUACGGGGGAAAGCAGGGGAUCUUCGGACCUUGCGCUAUUGGAUGAGCCUAAGUCAGAUUAACUUGUUGGUGGGGUAAAAGCCUACCAAGGCGACGAUCUGUAGCUGGUCUGAGAGGACGAUCAGCCAUACUGGGACUGAGACACGGCCCAGACUCCUACGGGAGGCAGCAGUGGGGAAUAUUGGACAAUGGGCGCAAGCCUGAUCCAGCAAUGCCGCGUGUGUGAAGAAGGCCUGCGGGUUGUAAAGCACUUUCAGUAGGGAGGAAAGGGUGUAAGUUAAUACCUUGCAUCUGUGACGUUACCUACAGAAGAAGCACCGGCUAAAUCUGUGCCAGCAGCCGCGGUAAUACAGAUGGUGCGAGCGUUAAUCGGAAUUACUGGGCGUAAAGCGCGCGUAGGCGGCUUGGUCAGUCAGAUGUG